UCAAUAAUCGUUCACGAUUAUUGAGGCAUUUUUAUUGACAUGAAAAUAAUAUAACUACGAUAGACUAGGCUGUAUAGGCUACGCUCUUUGCCUGCUUAUUGGCGAAUUUAAAAACAACAAGAAGAAUAUCGUUGCCGGUUUUCGGAUUUUCAUUUCCGAAAGAAGGGUCAAUGAAGUCUAUUCUCAGAAACCGGCUUCAUUUUUAUUAUUAUUAUAUAUAAUAAUAAUAAUAAUAAUAUGUACAUAUGGGCUUAUUUCUAGCAACAUUAACCACAAUUAACCUAUUUAACACUGUAAUUAACUAACAACAACUUAAUUUUAGCUGCAGAAAAAAACAAAAUUCUCUUAAACCUGGGUGAGAAUAUAAAAAUCGUUUUCUGAAUAUGAAACGAUAUUUCUUUGUCUAUCAAAUUAACGGCCGUUUUCAAUAACCUAUCUAUCCCUAGUUUCGGUUACUAAAGAUAGACAAAUCUAUAUUUUUGUCCUUACUUACGUUCCAAUAACCUAUCGACGGGCAGCAGUUCCUAUCGGAUUUAUCUAUCCAUCGUCGGGAGGACGGAUAGCCUGCUAAAGAUAGAACGCUCAUACAAAUCGUGCUUACUUCCGUUUCAAUAUGAGUUUUAAGUAACUCUCCGGUAGGCGGCGCUAUCUCUAGUAUGGGCAUUCGCUUAUCUGUCAAAAUCGGCCGGUUACAUGUUUAUCUUUCGAAAGUAAAUCGCUAUAAUUUAAUAAUUAUUUCUCUUCAUAUUGGCAUAUUGUAGCAGUGAUGAUAGUGAUAUGGAAUUAUUUCAAAUGAUAAUGGAUUGUGAUGCAGAUAGUGAUAGUGAGGCCGAUAUCAUAUGGUUAGGAAAAUAAAGAUCGUCUGAAUUACAUGGCGAAGAUCAAUAAUUACGAAUUUGACUAUAGAUUUCUGAGCAAAGGUGUUGUGAAUGAAUUGAUUAAUUUAAUGAGACCAUAUUUGAGUGUAACGUCAAAAAGAUUCAAAUAUAGGAGAGGAAUUUAGAAAUAGAAAAAGAGUAUUUUGAAUGUGUAAUUUGUGUGCAAUGCAUCAUUGAUGUUUCAAAAUGUUGUUGCUUGAAGGCCUGGGUCUACUCAUGAUACAACUAUAAUUAACCAUUCCGAUUGAAAAGAUGUAUUGGUGUUUGUAAAAGAAGACUCCCUGUAUAUCAUUGAAAAGUAGAUUAAAACUAGAAAAUAUGCAAGCUGUUAUUAUAGCUGCCAUGCUGCAUAAUAUCGUCAGAAGUAUGAAUUUAGAAGAAUUAGAAUCAGAAAUUUCAGUCGCAGAUACAUUACAGGAAAAUAAUAUAAUUGUUCGUAACAAUUUUUCAAAACCUACAUCUGAAAUACAACUAUGUACUUAUAAAUAAUUGCUUCCAAAGAUAAUUUAUAAAAUAAACUCCAAAGAUAA